CUAAUGGUGUUCCGGUAUUCCUUGAGAAAUGUGUUGGUCCAUCAAUCUCCAAAGCAACCUUUUGAUCAACAAGAACAGCAUCAACUGUGUAGCAGUCAACAGGGUACUCUCUAACCCAAUCAAGGCCAGUGCUCACAAGAAGACG